ACACUCAACCUUCCACAGAUUUCAGAACCAAAAACCUGCUAUAUAGAUACCAGUUGUACCAAAGUAGAAUGCUGUGUAGAUGUAGACUUUAUUCCAUACUCCUUCCAUACUUACCUGAAUAUAGAUCCAUGUAAACAGAUGAUAACUGUUGGCAUUGAAAGAUUCCACAGAAACAUUUCACUUACAAACUACCAAUGGGGAGAACAGGAAAGUUUUUGGCUUGCUGGUGUAUUGCGUCUGUCUUACAGCAUAGAGGAUUUUAGUGGUGAAAGCCUGUACUUAGUUAGCCUGAAUAUAAGUGUUUGCUUUGAAAGUUUCAAGCCUUGUCACAUGUCUGCCCAGAUACUCAGUCAGACCUGGCUGACUAAGGCCUUGUGUGCAUGGGAUACCCACUAUUAUCAGUCAAAUUUUUCCUUGGCAGACUGGCUACAGACAAAAGAGAUGUCACUACCACUGCCAAAUUAUGGACAGCUCUUAUUGUUUGAAGAUACUGGCAUAGCUCCAUAUUUACAUGGUGAUCAAUGUGGGGAAGAUAUUUCCAAGUUCAACAAAUUAUU